rnacentral:rRNA from 1 species
GAUGAACGCUAGCGGCAGGCCUAACACAUGCAAGUCGAGGGGCAGCACGUCUUCGGAUGGUGGCGACCGGCGCACGGGUGCGUAACGCGUAUGCAACCUACCUCUUACAGUGGGAUAGCCCAGAGAAAUUUGGAUUAAUACCGCAUAGUAUACAGAUUCAGCAUUGGGACUGUAUUAAACAUUUAUGGGUAAGAGAUGGGCAUGCGUUCUAUUAGUUAGUUGGAGUGGUAACGGCACCCCAAGACAGCGAUAGAUAGGGGCCCUGAGAGGGGGAUCCCCCANACUGGUACUGAGACACGGACCAGACUCCUACGGGAGGCAGCAGUGAGG